rnacentral:rRNA from 1 species
CUACGGGAUGCUCCAGUGGGGAAUAUUGGGCAAUGGGCGCAAGCCUGACCCAGCAACGCCGCGUGAGGGAAGAAUGUCUUCGGAUUGUAAACCUCUGUCCUUGGGGACGAAAAAAAUGACGGUACCCAAGGAGGAAGCUCCGGCUAACUACGUGCCAGCAGCCGCGGUAAUACGUAGGGAGCAAGCGUUGUCCGGAAUUAUUGGGCGUAAAGGGUGCGUAGGCGGCGCUGUAAGUCAGAUGUGAAAUCCCCGGGCUUAACUCGGGAGUUGCAUUUGAAACUACAGUGCUUGAGUAAAGAAGGGGUAAGUGGAAUUCCUAGUGUAGCGGUGGAAUGCGUAGAUAUUAGGAGGAGCACCAGUGGCGAAGGCGACUUACUGGUCUUUUACUGACGCUGAGGCACGAAAGCGUGGGGAGCAAACAGGAUUAGAUACCCCGGUAGUC